CUUCGCCACCUGGCACCCAGCAAUUUUUUAACACCGUGGUAUUCGCACGACAUCGUUUCUGGUUUCUUUCUUUUUACCUGUCAGCGAUUCAGUUAUAUGAUACAAACACGCUACGGCGAUCGGAGAGACAGAGGAAGCGAGCUGAUCAUUCAUCUUGGCUCUCUCUCUCUCUUCUUUCCAAAUCCCGUGGAAUUUCAAUUAUCGACUGAAGCAAUUUAGGAUACACUAGAAGAAUUCUUGAAGAUUCAAUUUGGUGUUGCACCUUCUACAGUUUUAGCAGUUAACCCCUUCUCUUGUAUCACCCUUGUUUGUCUGGUGUGAUGUGGGGUUUUGCUUCUAAUGCCAUCACAAGCAUUGGACUUAAAAGAAGCUCCUCAGAGCCAAGCCGGGUUUGUUUGGACUCCUCGGACGAUGAAGUCUGCUCAAAUUCAAGCCAAGAGGAGGGGUUAGAAUGCCCUAUAUGCCUGGAAUCUUUUAACAUUGUCGAGAAUGUGCCCCAUGUCUUAUGGUGUGGUCAUACCCUGUGUAGAAAUUGUGUCUUGGGGCUUCAAUGGGCUCUCUUUAAAUUCUCCUCUCAAAAUUUUAAGAUCCCAUUUUUCAUUGCUUGCCCGUGGUGCCACUUGUUGUCUUUGCGGCUGGUUUAUAAGGGGAAUCUAAAGUUUCCACGCAAGAAUUUCUUCCUUCUCUGGAUGAUUGAGAGCUUCAAUGGUGAAAGGGUAAAGUUUGGUUCUGCACUCAGUGGGGAGAAUCAACAAAUUGGUUCUCCAAGAGCAAGUUUAGCUAUUGGAAAUCAAACUGGCAACGGUAACCUGAGGAGGACCCAUUCUAGUUGCCCUUCGCUGUCGAGGUAUAACCACGAUGAUAGGGGUAGUCGUGUCGAGCGGCAUCAUUUCUCCCUGCAGAAGUCUUUGGAAAGUUUCAUUCACCUUACAUCCAAGUUCCCAUUAGUCGUAGUGUUUCUUUUGAUUGUCUUUUUUGCAAUACCUGGCUGUGCUAUUAUUUUGGCUCUCUACUUGUUACUCACAGUGGUUUUCGCAAUCCCCUCUUUUUUCUUGUUGUACUUUGCAUACCCUAUUUUGGAGAGGUUGGUGAGGGAGAUAACCUCAUGACCAGGCAUUAUUGGCUCGUCACCCUUUUUAGAACCUUAUGGCUCCAACUAUCCUCUUCCAGUUGUCAUCCAAAUUUUUUUUCAUCAAAGUAGAGCACAUUAUGCUAACUUGAGCCUUCGGCAUCCAGAGCACUCUCGGAUUACAUGGUAUGCAUGACAGUGGAAGUUUCAAGAGUAUAUGAGGCAUGUUUCUUGGGUAAUUUGUAAGGUCUGGCGUCUGAGUUUGAAUGAUUGUCAUUAAUGUAACUACCAUUGUUUAUUGGAAGUGGCUGAUUUCCUAUUGCUCAACUGAUUUUUGAGGGAGUAUUUGAAGUUGUGUUAGUGAAUUUUUACAUGUACGCUUACUUGAAGGCCGGCAAAAAUGACCGAAAACAACUAUUUGACUUUCAUGUCUAAUCUGUUUCAUGAAAUCUGCGCAACAUAAAUGAAUAGAUUUGGGAAAGUCAUUUGACUGGUGUAAACCUUUGGGAAGGCUAGGCUCCAAGGCUCGUCCUUAUUCGUUAUACAAUGAACAGUCAGUAUUAUUGCCUUCUAAUUUCAGCUUGAUGCAUGCUGCGAUACCUUAUACAUUCAACAGCACAAGCGUGGGAUGUCUGAUUGGUUUCUUGACAAAGGCCUUGUCUUUUACUCUUAACUUCAUUUGUGGUCUAGUACCAUCUAAUUAGUUGAUUUGUACGUGCUUUUAGUAUGGUAUGAAUAAUCAUGGUGGAACUGCCAUCUUAUUGUGAUUGCACUCUGAGUUUCAUACAGGAUAUGAAAGAAAUAUUUACAAUCUUGAAAGUAGCGGAGUAUCUAUAAUUGGUCGACUUAGAAGCAGAAACAUGAUGUAGGAGCUUUCCCUGUUUUUCUGAUUGCAUUUGCCUUUUCUUUUACCUUCAAGACUUCAUUUCUGUACCGCUCCUCUGCCUGUGCCCUUGCUCCCUCUGCAAUCUGUUUAAUAUGUUCCAUAUCUCUGUUGAACUUUCGUUGAGCUUUUACUCUUUUUUUCUCUACUUCACUCUGCAGGUUCAAUAAGUUUAAGUUGGAUAUUAGUCCAUAUGGUCAAAGUAUUACAUUUGAUAAAGAAAUGAAACAAAACCUCUUUUGUACUGAGUCGGCGUCUGGUUUUCUUCUUCUUCUUGCUCUCCCAGGAAAGUAUUGUGGCGUUUUGUUUCUCAUACCUGACAAUCAUGAAUGUUAGAGGAAGAACAGAAUAUGAUCUUAAAUUCCAAGGUUCUGUUGCACUCUGCCUCAUGGUUUCAUUUGAAGGGCCUGCAGUCUCAGGUUUUAUAUUGUCAGCUUUGUUCAACUGUUUAUCAGCAACAGUUGGAGUGUUUUUAAUUG